GAUGAACGCUAGCGAUAGGCUUAACACAUGCAAGUCGAGGGGCAGCACAAGGUAGCUUGCUAUCUGGGUGGCGACCGGCGCACGGGUGCGUAACGCGUAUGCAACUUGCCCUAUACAGGAGGAUAACCCGUCGAAAGACGGACUAAUACUGCGUAUGCUCACAACUUGGCAUCAAGUGGUGAGGAAAGAAAUUCGGUAUAGGAUAGGCAUGCGUCCCAUUAGCUUGUUGGUGAGGUAACGGCUCACCAAGGCAACGAUGGGUAGGGGAACUGAGUGGUUUAUCCCCCACACUGGUACUGAGACACGGACCAGACUCCUACGGGAGGCAGCAGUGAGGAAUAUUGGUCAAUGGGCGCGAGCCUGAACCAGCCAAGUCGCGUGAAGGAUGACUGUCUUAUGGAUUGUAAACUUCUUUUAUACGGGAAUAACAAGAGUCACGUGUGACUCCCUGCAUGUACCGUAUGAAUAAGCAUCGGCUAACUCCGUG
rnacentral:rRNA from 1 species